CAAUUAAAAGGCCGAAUUUUAUAAACAGAAAGAGGGAAAUGAGAAGUUGGGUUAACUCUUUGGGCCGAAUCCAGACCCGAAUUUGAUAUUCGGAGCCCCGGCCGGAAGCCUACUGAAUUAAUGAACGAAACAGAAAAAUGUCAACAAAAAAUGGCGUCUUCUUCCCUUACCUGCCGCGAGAUCGUCAACCUCCACCGCCACCACUACAACCGUGCUAUUCCGCCGCCGGAAAUUUACAGUUGUACCGCCGCAACCACUGACCGUAUGAUCUCCUGCGUUUUUUCUUAUUCUUAUUCCUUUAAAUUGGAUCGCCGUGAUUCAUUUCCACCCAAGCGCAAUUCGUGGUUGGGAUGCCCCCGAGCCACCGGUCCAGCCCCGGAUCCGCCUUCAGAGCAACAUCUGUCUCCAAUAUCUGAAUUAUUGACGACGUGAUCAAAAGGUAGGCUGUGGUCCCAGCUAGCAACAUGUCCAUACCUUAUCAGCAUCAAUGGGGGCACCCGAGUGCAGGUCUGCCUCGAUCUCAUUGGUGGACCAAAUGCGGCUAAUGAAUGAUCAAGAAAGAUGGAAUGCGACGGCCCUCUCUGUGCUGUUUCUGAGUCGUGGCAGCCUGUUAUUUGAUGGACCGAGCAAGUGAAAAAGGCACGUCCAUUUCCCCUUUUGGGUGUUUCUCAUCCUGGCUUUUGAGCAUGACCGUGAAAUUUAUUUUAUUAUUUAGUCUGCAAAUUUGGUUUAUAAUGUAUCACCACCAUAUCUACAGAAGUGGAGUGUGGUUAGCUGCUUGUCGUUCUCAUGCUUUUCUAUAAUCUGAGAUUAAUUCAAGUUUACUUAGGAAUA